rnacentral:tRNA from 1 species
GGAGGGAUGGCCGAGUGGUUUAAGGCGGCGGUCUUGAAAACCGCUUGGCGCAAGCCACGUGGGUUCGAAUCCUACUCCCUCCGCCA